rnacentral:rRNA from 1 species
AGCGAACGCUGGCGGCAGGCCUAACACAUGCAAGUCGAACGAUCCUUCGGGAUAGUGGCGGACGGGUGAGUAACACGUUGGAACGUACCUUUAGGUUCGGGAUAACUCAGGGAAACUUGAGCUAAUACCGGAUAAGCCCUUUUGGGGAAAGAUUUAUCGCCUUUAGAGCGGCCCGCGUUAGAUUAGCUAGUUGGUGGGGUAAAGGCCCACCAAGGCUCCGAUCUAUAGCUGGUCUGAGAGGAUGAUCAGCCACACUGGGACUGAGACACGGCCCAGACUCCUACGGGAGGCAGCAGUGGGGAAUCUUGCGCAAUGGGCGAAAGCCUGACGCAGCCAUGCCGCGUGAAUGAUGAAGGUCUUAGGAUUGUAAAAUUCUUUUAGCAGGGACGAUAAUGACGGUACCUGCAGAAAAAGCCCCGGCUAACUUCGUGCCAGCCGCCGCGGUAAAAC